rnacentral:rRNA from 1 species
UUUGCAGAGGAUGCUUCGGGAGCGGCCCCCAUCUAAGUGCCCUGGAACGGGCCGUCCUAGAGGGUGAGAAUCCCGUCUGGGAUGGGGUGCCCGCGCCCGUGUGAAGCUCCUUCGACGAGUCGAGUUGUUUGGGAAUGCAGCUCUGAAUGGGUGGUAAAUUUCAUCUAAAGCUAAAUACUGGCCGGAGACCGAUAGCGCACAAGUAGAGUGAUCGAAAGAUGAAAAGCACUUUGAAAAGAGAGUUAAACAGCACGUGAAAUUGUUGAAAGGGAAGCGCUUGCAACCAGACUCGCCCGCAGGGUUCAGCCGGCAUUCGUGCCGGUGUACUUCCCCGCGGGAGGGCCAGCGUCGGUUUGGGCGGCCGGUCAAAGGCCCUCGGAAUGUAACGCCCCCCGGGGCGUCUUAUAGCCGAGGGUGCCAUGCGGCCAGUCCGGANCGAGGAACGCGCUUCGGCUCGGACGCUGGCAUAAUGGUCGUAAGCGACCCGU